GUUCUGUUUUGUUUUGUGUGUAAAAUGCAGAUCUACUCUAAAGCUGAAGAUCCUGUCAUAUACAGCACUAUAAAUGAUGAAAUCCCUAAUGAUCCCAGCAAGAACAUAACCACCUACAGUACUAUUGAUCAUGUUCCUGGGAGUGAAGCAAAGCCUCCAGCAGAUGGAGCAAUAUACAGCAUAACAUACAGCACUGUGGCUCCACACUGACAGCAACAGUGAGAAAAACACAGGAACAGAUCCUUCUGACCAAGAGAAGGUUUUUUUUUUUUUUUUUUUUUUUUUUUUUUUGCCUUAAAUCCACAAACACAAUGCUAAAUCCACUUAUACAGUUGACUUUUUCCCCUUUGUUUUCAUUUGCACAUUGGUUGUGAACUUUUGAUCUGAUAUUUUAUUUUGACCCACAUGAACCAAAGUGAGGGUCAAAAAUUGUAAGGAUUAUUGUAAAUGAAGUCCAUAGUUCAUAUCUAGCCUACUUUGGUGUUUUAUUGUGUAUUUAAAGACCUCUCCUGAGAAAAUGGGGAUCUUUUUAUAGUUAUAAUUUCUAUUUAAGUGUCUUUGUUUCAUUUCUUCACUGUAAAAAUUACUUAUCUGGG